CCCAACCCUAUCAGGCUAUCUCCCUCCCCGAUUUCUCCCCCUCGUCCGCCGCCGCUACAACUCAACGGCGGCCUCCCCCACAGCCGCCGCCACCACCUCUUCUCUCCUCUCCUCACCUUCUCCCCCACCAUCGGCGAACUCGUUCCCUCUUCCUUGCUGCAGAUCGACCAGCAGGUUUGGAUCCUAUGCAGGCUCAGAUCCGACACACCCACAGCGCUGCUUUGGCUUGAGGGCGUCAAGAGCUAGAAGGCGGGUGGUGCCGCGAGCUCUCGUCCCGAGCAAGAUGGAGGAGGACGAGCACAACCUGGAUGAGGUCGCCGUGGGAGACCAUAGGCGAGAGGAAGGAGCCGUCGCUGGUUCCGCGCCCUCGCCCCGAGAGUGGCAGCCUUGCAGGAAAGAGACUCUUGAAGAGUGCUUUUGGUUCGGAAGCUGCAAAAUGGAAAUGUGUUGGAGCUAUUGACAAUUUGACAUCACUUAAUAUCUGUUCAAUUAUAUAUUUGCCUACCCCAGGGAUAUUGAAUGCAACAUUUGGUUCAAGCUUUUGAAAGAAUGGGCAUACAAGUGAUCCUUUUCUUGAUUCUCUAAAGCAUAUUGUUUGAUUGAGCUAGACUUAGAACAUGUCACCAAACCUGAGAUCUAGAACAUGUUGCUACUAGCAGGGCCCAAAAGAAUCAAAAUAAACAUGUACGUUUUUAGUGUUGCUGAUGUAUUGUUCUGCUAGAUGUGUGAUGUGUGUUGCUGCGAGUUUGUGGAUUGGCAGCUUCUUGAUGAUGUGUGCCUGCUGGAAUGGGUUGCAUUGGUAGUCUGUGUUGUGGAUGCAGCAACUGCUUCAUGUUUGUUUUUGUAUCAUGAUGUUCUCUUUUUGGGUGUCUUGGGCGUUGUUUAGGCUGAUGUUUCUUUGUUGGUGCAGAUUUUUCAGAAAUUCUUUGGUGGUGGUGGCACUAUUGUAUGUGGACCGACUAUUGUGGCUUACUGGCUUGUGUUCCAGUUGCCACUGCUCAACAAGGAGAAGAAUGGUAGUUCACCACGUACACGUAAAUGCCUCAUGUGUGGCUCUUUCAAUGCAUUGCUGCUCUCAUCGCAUUUCACCAUUCUUCAUGCUCACACUAUGCAGAAGAUUCUUCCUGUUGGCAUGGGGCUUGAGAGAGAGGAAGAGAUACAUGUCGGCCUCUAUGCACAUUGCGCACAAGGGUUGCUGGUCAGUAUUAGUGUUUAUGCAAGUCCAUUCAUCUUAUCAUUCAAUUAGAUGUGUGUUUUGGAUAUCUUAGGAUUUUCAACAAAAAUAAUUAUGAGAUACUCUGAGUAAUGAGACUUAAAUUCAAUCAUUGAUUUCCCUAUUUCAAAUUCAAUCAUUGAUUUCCCUAUUUUAACUGUAAAAUGUUUAUUUCUUUAGUUAUUAGAAAGUGGGUGAUGUUUAUUUCAUGCCUUAUUUACCGUGGUCUAUCCAUCUCUUUCUUUUGAGCUCGAGAAGUGAAAGGAACUAAAGAAGAUGAUGGUAAUCCUUGGGUCGAUCUGCUGUUUUGCUUUUGUAUUUGAGAACGGCUGAUAGAAUCUUAGGUACUUCAGACUAAUUGAUGCUUCAUUAGGAUAUAACUACUGAUUGGAUGCAUAAGAGAACCGCCGUACUCGGUACUACAUACUUUCUCCAGUUUGAAUAACUUAUCUUAACAAUACAAUAGCUGAAUGAUUUGCUUGUAUGUUUCUCUUUCAGGUUAGAGAGAAAGAUUUUGAUGUGAAUUUUUGGAUAAAAUCCCUGAUUUCUCUUACUUGGAUUAUGCUGAAUCGGAUUUUUUAACAAGGUACUUGAUGGGACACAAAGGUUGUGUGCAUAAUAUUUCGGGUGUGGGCAUGUAACAAAUUCAGUAAGAUUGAUUUAUGUGUACAUAGCUGCUAUAGUUCUCUAAGAUCAAUAUAUUUUCUCACAAAGAAAAUUCUAGGUUUGAAAAAAGGCAAGUGGCAGAUUGUCACCACUUCAGCAACUGCGGCGUAUGUUUUCUCACAAAGAAACUUUAAGGAGGAUGUUCUAGGAACUAUUUGAACCUGCUUGUACGAUAAUGGCUUUUCUUGCCAUUUUGAUCCUGGUACCUGAACUGUUUGUCGCUCUUGCCAGAUUGAUCGUUGCGGAUGAGAUUGACUACUUAAUAACACAAGAACGGACUGUGCUACAUGACCUUUUCAUGCUUACCAACCACCUGUUCUCCAAAUGCAUGUUAAUAGGAAUUGCAAAUGCCAUAGACCCAGCUGAUCGCUUUCUACCAAAGCUUGAAUCCUUGAAUUGUAAGGAUUCUUAUUAUAUUUGCUAUAGUGAAAAUUGAAGGCAUCUCUAGAACAGGCAAAUGAGUCUGCCUUUUGUUCCCGACACUCCUUCAUAUCUUGUGUUCUGCAUUCUUGCGUCUCACUAUGGGAGCAAUAUUUAGUCAAUCCAGCAAUUAGUGAACAUAGCAUUGCGUGCAUUUUUUAGUCAAUCCAAUUUCACAAAGAUUUUAUUUUGUUCCAUUGUUAGCACUACCCAUGUUACAGAGAUGAUCAGAAAGGUAGCUAUCAUGGUAGUAUCUGUGCUCUUUUGUUCUCUCUUUUUUUUGGUCAGAGGUAAUUUGGGUGCACCUCAUGAUCUCUUUGUUCUUCCAAAAAAGCACCGAUGGCUUGGACAAUUUCUGUCAAUAAUUUUGUGCAUCUAUGGUUGCAGGAGGAUGAAUUUGUAUGUUCCCAUGAAAUUACCCGUUUCUUUCUUUGUUACCAUCUUCCAUGAAUAUUUGUUCCGUCUAUCUGUUCUGCUAGCUGAAAUUGAUCUUGUCGGAUAACUGCCUUUACUGCAUCACAAGUUCUAUCAUUCUGAUAGAUUGUUAAAAUAUUUCAUCGUCUUGCUUCAAAUCCUAUUGAUCCACCCCGAAACGCAUGCCCUAAAGCUUCUUACUCUCUAGGAAUCAUUUUUAUCAUAAUCUACAACUAUCAUGCUUCAAAUUAACUACGUUUAUGGUUUAUCAUAAUUUUUUCAUGCUUGACAGGUUUUUCUUUCUUCACAGCUGAUCUGAUAAGUGACAAUACGACUGUACUUUCUUAUUUACAGGUAAUUGAUAUUAUGUACAUUCUAAUUUUCUUCUAUACUCCAGUGCCACUUGCAUAUUUUCUUCCGUCAUGCCAGGAUAUCAUAUAAACUAUUUUCGUGUGACUGUUAUGCGCUAGGGCGAGUCCAGUUAUCCUUAACCAGGCAGUACUUUUUAUGAGAAAGUAUACAUUUUGUUUAGGACAACACCAGGCUAUGGCUUAUAGUAUCUACAUCACUAGAUGCUAACCAAACACUGCAGGUAGGUGAAAUUACCUAGCACCAAUGCUAGGUGAUGUGUGGGUAGGUGCUAAAAAACCCUUGCCACCCAAUCCUAAGCUAAAUACAUUACUCGUGGUUACAUAUAACAAUUUUACUUUAUCUAAAAAAAAUGAGAAGUACUCCCCCAAGUCUCCUCGUUGAUGUCCAACGGACGCCAUGCAACCAAUGGUACUGCCAUCAUGACAACACUCACCUCCAUGCUAAUCGAGGUUUUCGACCUGCCUGAAAUGGACAAGGUCAUUCGGGCAUCUGCUUUUGAUGUGUUAUUUUAUCUUUUUGAUAAGAACUCAAGUGUAGCCAACAUGAUUAAUUUUAUGUUCUAUGCUACCAGUUGUCUGGGCAUCCACUUUUGAUGUACUAUUUGUUCUCUCUUUGUAAGAUCAAUUCUGUGUUAUAAAAACUAUGCUACCGGUUGUUCAUGGUUGUGCACUGAA